UACGGGGGGGGGCAAGCGUUGUUCGGAAUUACUGGGCGUAAAGGGCGCGUAGGCGGACUUUUAAGUCAGGGGUGAAAUCCUGAGGCUCAACCUCAGAACUGCCUUUGAUACUGAGGGUCUCGAGACCGGUAGAGGUAAGUGGAACUGCGAGUGUAGAGGUGAAAUUCGUAGAUAUUCGCAAGAACACCAGUGGCGAAGGCGGCUUACUGGACCGGUUCUGACGCUGAGGCGCGAAAGCGUGGGGAGCAAACAGG
rnacentral:rRNA from 1 species